GGAGUUAGCCGGUGCUUCUUCUGUGAGUGAUGUCCUUCCUGCCGGCUAUUAACCCGCAGGCCUUCUUCCUCACUGAAAGUGCUUUACAACCCGAAGGCCUUCUUCACACACGCGGCAUGGCUGGAUCAGGGUUGCCCCCAUUGUCCAAUAUUCCCCACUGCUGCCUCCCGUAGGAGUCUGGGCCGUGUCUCAGUCCCAGUGUGGCUGAUCAUCCUCUCAGACCAGCUACGGAUCGUCGCCUUGGUGAGCCGUUACCUCACCAACCAGCUAAUCCGACAUAGGCUCAUCCGAUAGCGCGAGGCCCGAAGGUCCCCCGCUUUCCCCCGUAGGGCGUAUGCGGUAUUAGCCUGGGUUUCCCCAGGUUAUCCCCCACUACCGGGCAGAUUCCUAUGCAUUACUCACCCGUCCGCCGCUCGCCACCAGGGAGCAAGCUCCCCGUGCUGCCGCUCGACUUGCAUGUGUUAGGCCUGCCGCCAGCGUUCAAUCUGAGCCAUAACUACAAACUCUGA
rnacentral:rRNA from 1 species